rnacentral:piRNA from 1 species
UACAACAAAUUUCAGUGGGCUUGUCACAU